GCAAGUCGAGCGGUAGCACAGGGGGAGCUUGCUCCCUGGGUGACGAGCGGCGGACGGGUGAGUAAUGUCUGGGAAACUGCCUGAUGGAGGGGGAUAACUACUGGAAACGGUAGCUAAUACCGCAUAACGUCGCAAGACCAAAGAGGGGGACCUUCGGGCCUCUUGCCAUCAGAUGUGCCCAGAUGGGAUUAGCUAGUAGGUGGGGUAAUGGCUCACCUAGGCGACGAUCCCUAGCUGGUCUGAGAGGAUGACCAGCCACACUGGAACUGAGACACGGUCCAGACUCCUACGGGAGGCAGCAGUGGGGAAUAUUGCACAAUGGGCGCAAGCCUGAUGCAGCCAUGCCGCGUGUGUGAAGAAGGCCUUCGGGUUGUAAAGCACUUUCAGCGAGGAGGAAGGUGGUGAGCUUAAUACGCUCAUCAAUUGACGUUACUCGCAGAAGAAGCACCGGCUAACUCCGUGCCAACACCCGCGGUAAUACGGAGGGUGCAAGCGUUAAUCGGAAUUACUGCCCGCAAAGCGCACGCAGGCGGUUUGU
rnacentral:rRNA from 1 species